rnacentral:rRNA from 1 species
AGGUUACUGCUAUCGGUGUUCGCCUAAGCCAUGCGAGUCAUAUGUUCUUCGUGAACAUGGCGUACUGCUCAGUAACACGUGGAUAACCUGCCCUUGGGUCCGGCAUAACCCCGGGAAACUGGGGAUAAUUCCGGAUAACGCACAUAUGCUGGAAUGCUUUAUGCGUCAAAUGGAUUCGUCCGCCCAAGGAUGGGUCUGCGGCCUAUCAGGUAGUAGUGGGUGUAAUGUACCUACUAGCCUGCGACGGGUACGGGUUGUGAGAGCAAGAGCCCGGAGAUGGAUUCUGAGACAUGAAUCCAGGCCCUACGGGGCGCAGCAGGCGCGAAAACUUUACAAUGCGGGAAACCGUGAUAAGGGGACACCGAGUGCCAGCAUCAUAUGUUGGCUGUCCGGGUGUGUAAAAUACACCUGUUAGCAAGGGCCGGGCAAGACCGGUGCCAGCCGCCGCGGUAACACCGGCGGCCCGAGUGGUGAUCGUGAUUAUUGGGUCUAAAGGGUCCGUAGCCGGUUUGGUCAGUCCUCCGGGAAAUCUGACGGCUUAACCGUUAGGCUUUCGGGGGAUACUGCCAGACUUGGAACCGGGAGAGGUAAGAGGUACUACAGGGGUAGGAGUGAAAUCUUGUAAUCCCUGUGGGACCACCUGUGGCGAAGGCGUCUUACCAGAACGGGUUCGACGGUGAGGGACGAAAGCUGGGGGCACGAACCGGAUUAGAUACCCGGGUAGUCCCAGCCGUAAACGAUGCUCGCUAGGUGUCAGGCAUGGCGCGACCGUGUCUAGUGCCGCAGGGAAGCCGUGAAGCGAGCCACCUGGGAAGUACGGCCGCAAGGCUGAAACUUAA